GUGCUACGACGUUCGAGCUCGGCUCGACUCUCCCACCCUUUGUGAACGUACCUCUGUUGCUUUGGCGGCUCCGGCCGCCAAAGGACCUUCAAACUCCAGUCAGUAAACGCAGACGUCUGAUAAACAAGUUAAUAAACUAAAACUUUCAACAACGGAUCUCUUGGUUCUGGCAUCGAUGAAGAACGCAGCGAAAUGCGAUAAGUAAUGUGAAUUGCAGAAUUCAGUGAAUCAUCGAAUCUUUGAACGCACAUUGCGCCCCUUGGUAUUCCGGGGGGCAUGCCUGUUCGAGCGUCAUUACAACCCUCAAGCUCUGCUUGGAAUUGGGCACCGUCCUCACUGCGGACGCGCCUCAAAGACCUCGGCGGUGGCUGUUCAGCCCUCAAGCGUAGUAGAAUACACCUCGCUUUGGAGCGGUUGGCGUCGCCCGCCGGACGAACCUUCUGAACUUUUCUCAAGGUUGACCUCGGAUCAGGUAGGGAUACCCGCUGAACUUAAGCAUAUCAAAAGUCGG
rnacentral:rRNA from 1 species